UCCGCGUUGAGGUCCUCACUGUGGACCAAAGUCCUGUGGACCACAGUCCUCACUGUGGACCAAAGAGACGGCUGGGGCAGGAGUCACUGUCCCCACUGCAAAGAGGCAGAGCCCAGACCCCUGACUCAAGCUCAGCCAGGGCCACAGUCCGCAGGAGGAAUGGAGCCUCAUCUGGAUGGCGGGAGCAUCUCGUGACAUCCCCACCCUUCAGAUGCUCUUUCCUCCCCGAAACUGCCAAAGGGCUGAGCAAUGACUUGGCGCUGAGCUGGGUGUGUAUAGCCACCGAGCAGGGCUCCCCGCCCCAAGGAGUGGUGGGAGGGGCCCCAUCCUCCAACGAUCAGCUGUCAGCUUUGUCAUCCUCUGUUCUCUCCACUGCUGCUGUCAUCAGGCCUUGGGUGACAGGCUAGGAGGCAGGUGGGGCCAGACUGGCGGUGGAGGGAGCUGAGAGUCAGGCAGAGGCGUUUGGCCUUGGUUGCUAUAGGGAUAAUCAUUAUAAUGACAUCCUUGACGUAUGUCAUGCCUUACAGUUUCACUGAACAUUUCCGAGAAUAACAGCGCCCAUUAAUGGCUAGCUCACUGUGUGCCAGCUCUGUCCCCCAGCAGGUGGGAAUUGUUAGCCCCAUUUUACAGAUGAGGAACCCUGGGCAGGGGGCAGAGAGGUUAAAUUCUUGCCUAAGACCCGCAGCUAGGAAGAGGCAGAACUUGAGUUUGAACCCAGGUCUGGCCACACAGCAGGGCUCUCUCCUGACAUCACACCUCGUAUGUAUUAUUUCCUUCAGCCGCGAGACUCUGUUGUGAGCCCAGCAAGUGAUCUGCUUCCUUCGUUCUACUGGGAGCUGAGGCUCAGGACAGUAGGUCCGAUUGACUGCCUGGCUGGACAAAGAGGGCAAAGGAAGGGAAAUGGAGCAGGGACUAGAGGAAGGAAGGUUGGUUGACUCAAAAGAAUAGACAAACCAAAGAAACGAAAAAGGGAUAAACGACCGCCCAGGUCCCAGGAGGUCUGUCUUUGGCCAGAACCCUUCCACCCAAAGCCCGGACCUCUUGUUUACAGAGCAUCUCCUGAGUCCUGGACACUUGGCAUGUAUCGCUUUAUUCCCUCCUGUUACGUAUAAUUCUUAUCCUCCUUUGACAAGUAAUGAAACUGAGGCCCAGAGAGGACAGAUGAUUUGCCCAAGAUCCCACAGCUGGCAGGGAAACUGAAGCUCUCAAGAGGAAGGGACCUGUCGCAUAGUGAGAAAGCUGCAGGCCCAGUCUGCGGCAGAUGGAGCCCAGAAGAACCUUUUCUCCCAUUUCCGUCUGUCUGGGCUCCGUCAGAUCCAUUCCACUCCAGCCACCAUUUAACUGGAUGGAGCUCAGGGCUGGGAAUGCAGGCCUCCUGUCCUCGCCUCCUCUCUCCGACCUGUCAUUAUGGAUCC